AGUGAACGCUGGCGGUAGGCCUAACACAUGCAAGUCGAACGGCAGCACAGUAAGAGCUUGCUCUUACGGGUGGCGAGUGGCGGACGGGUGAGGAAUACAUCGGAAUCUACUUUUUCGUGGGGGAUAACGUAGGGAAGCUUACGCUAAUACCGCAUACGUCCUACGGGUGAAAGCAGGGGAUCUUCGGACCUUGCGCGAUUGAAUGAGCCGAUGUCGGAUUAGCUAGUUGGCGGGGUAAAGGCCCACCAAGGCGACGAUCCGUAGCUGGUCUGAGAGGAUGAUCAGCCACACUGGAACUGAGACACGGUCCAGACUCCUACGGGAGGCAGCAGUGGGGAAUAUUGGACAAUGGGCGCAAGCCUGAUCCAGCCAUACCGCGUGGGUGAAGAAGGCCUUCGGGUUGUAAAGCCCUUUUGUUGGGAAAGAAAAGCAGCAGGUUAAUACCCCGCUGUUCUGACGGUACCCAAAGAAUAAGCACCGGCUAACUUCGUG
rnacentral:rRNA from 1 species